UACGUGGGGUGCAAGCGUUGUUCGGAAUUACUGGGCGUAAAGCGCGUGUAGGCGGCGCACUAAGUUCGAUGUGAAAGCCCUGGGCUUAACCCAGGAACUGCAUUGAAAACUGGUGGGCUUGAGUCCGGGAGAGGGUCGCGGAAUUCCUGGUGUAGAGGUGAAAUUCGUAGAUAUCAGGAGGAACACCGGUGGCGAAGGCGGCGACCUGGACCGGUACUGACGCUGAGACGCGAAAGCGUGGGGAGCAAACAGG
rnacentral:rRNA from 1 species